GAGGCCUGGAUGAGUAGGUGCCAACUGAGCUGAGUCCAGAAAACUUUACUCUUAAUCCUACAAGUAGGGGUGAGGGGGUGGGUGGGAAAUGAGUCCAGUUAGCCUUUAAGGCCAAUGACAGUGGGAAAAGUUUUGUAUUCACGAAUGGCAAACCAGGUUGCUUUUAGGAUUUGGCUUAACAAAAUAAACACUCUACAUCUUUAAACAGGGCUUCUCAAUUUAAGGAGCCACUAUUUCUUCUCAUAAAAGUCACUUACUUUUAAAUUUUUGCUAAUUAGUGUAGAGGUACUUAAGUGGAGACAAUUACUGGAAGGAUUUCUUUAGAGCCCGGACAGCUCACUUGACACCAUCCAAAAUCUGAAAGAGACAGGACCCAACCCUGGAGCGAAUCAGCGCUUCUCCAGCAACUCAUUAACGCAGCUAGGCUGAAUCGUGCAACCCUCUCAAGAAUGUGAAACAAGCCUCGGAAAAUCUGAGGGGCCUGACACCCCCAAAGUUAUUACAAAAGGAAAGAAAAAACACCGCCCCCUUUGCACUAACUCGCUCCCGCCCUCCCUCAUUGCCCCCCUUCCCCAGGCGUCAUCACUGCAGAAAGGCCGCUGUCUCCCGGGUCAGAGGCACACGGCGAGUACGCGCGCGUGUGUACCCCGCAUGAAUCAUCGGCGCCCAGUCCGCGGGACGAUGAUUCAUUCACCGCCCUGGAGCUCACGGCCACACGCUCGCGGCGUACUAUGACCGCCGCACACACAGCUUCCUUAAUACUGAACAAAUGUUUCAAAGUACAAACGCUUAGAGCCAGAAACGUGUAGACCUACGCGAGCCGGAGGAGAGGAAACCACGUUUCGGCCGCUGCCCGAGUGCUCCCGGGCCGGGGAGGGGAGCGGCGAGCACGUCCGCCCUUCGGCACCCCUUUUCCGGCACGCGCGCGGGCAGCUCCCGCAGGGGGCGCGGAGGGCGCACAGUUGGUUGCCCCUUGGUUGUCUUUCUAUUCAUCUCACAAAACUCAUCUCAGACAUCUUCUCCAAGAAGCUUUCUCUAACUCCUAUGGUAAAGUUAAUCUUUCAUUCUUCUGUGUUGCCUUGUAUAAUAUUCUAUUGUAGAAACUUUAUUGUAAUUUAUUUUUAUUGAAAGCAAAGACUGUAUUUGUUCAUUUUUACAUUCCCAGUGUCUGAUCCACAGUUGAUACUCAAUAAAUGUCUGCUAAAAAGAAGUGAAUAGAGGGAAGUAGACGUGGCUCAACUGAUAGAGCAUCCUCCUACCAUAUGGGAGGGUCCAGGGUUCAAUACCUAGGGCCUCCUGACCUGUGUGGUAAGCUGGCCCAUGCACAGUGCUGCCGCGUGCAAAGAGUGCCAUGCCACGCAGGGGUGCCCCCACGUGCAAGGGCCCCAAGUGCAAGGAAUGUGCCCUGCAAGGAGAGCUGCUCUGCGUGAAAAAAGCGCAGCCCGCCCAGGAGUGGCACUGCACACACAGAGAGCUGACGCAGUAAGAUGAUGUAAUAAAAAAGAAACAAUACCGAGUUUUCUUGCUCAACACUGCAGUUUACCUGUUAACAUUUCUCAGGCUUCUAGCAUAAGUCCAAAAGUAUUUGU
ensembl:lincRNA